rnacentral:rRNA from 1 species
AGUGAACGCUGGCGGUAGGCCUAACACAUGCAAGUCGAACGGCAGCACAGUAAUAGCUUGCUCUUACGGGUGGCGAGUGGCGGACGGGUGAGGAAUACAUCGUAAUCUACUUUUUCGUGGGGGAUAACGUAGGGAAACUUACGCUAAUACCGCAUACGACCUACGGGUGAAAGCAGGGGAUCUUCGGACCUUGCGCGUUUGUAUUAGCCGAUGUCGGAUUAGCUAGUUGGCGGGGUAAAGGCCCACCAAGGCGACGAUCCGUAGCUGGUCUGCGAGGAUGAUCAGCCACACUGGAACGGAGACACGGUCCAGACUCCUACGGGAGGCAGCAGUGGGGAAUAUUGGACAAUGGGAGAAAGCCUGAUCCAGCAAUACCGCGUGGGUGAAGAAGGACUUCGGGUUGUAAAGCCCUUUUGUUGGGAAAGAAAAGCAGCAGGUUAAUAACCCGCUGUUAUGACGGUACCCAAAGAAUAAGCACCGGCUAACUUCGUG